rnacentral:lncRNA from 1 species
UGAGAUUUUUGGGUUUUCUUGGUGCUAUAUUUGGAGGCAGGGUGUUUUUGGACCUGAGACACAUACUCCAUCCUACUCCACUGGAUUUGACACCUUCCAUACCAUAUUUGAAUGUGAUUAGGUAAGUUUUGACAUUGGAAUUGGGUAAAUCUUAAUCUUAAGUGCUGAAAUGUUGGAAUUGAUGGAUUUUAGUGAAUUUUUAUGUUCAGAUUUUGUUUGUAGAUCAUUGCUGGCUGAGGGCAGGUUCGGCUUGUUAGGAAAUAUAUGCAUCUGCAUGUGCAUUUAAUGCAGCGGAAAUAAAUUUUAUUUUAAAAUAUGAUCCAAUCAUGUAUAUUUUAAUAUCAUAACAUUUAUGAUAUUAGUAUAUAUAUAUGUACCAAGAUCAUCUCGUGUGACACACAAAAAUUAUUAUUCUAAUCUAAUUAGAAGAAGGGUUCGAAUUUCAACCUGUGCAAAUUACCGAAAUUAUUUCACGGUUGAUGUGGAUCUGAACUUCUGGUCCUUUAAGCCGCACAAGUGUUCGGCCUCUAUGUAUAUCCACACAAGGCUGCUCCGGGAUCUGUGCUUCACACAAUUACAGUGUAAUCUCGAAACUCCUUUCAUGAUCUCUUGUGUUAAUGUGGAGAAAAAUUAAUCCUCAAAAUUGUGCUAGCAAUUUGAAGAGGAUCAACUAUAGAGACCAAAUAAUAUAGGAGGACCACUCUCUUAUGAUCAAAAGAGAAUUCUAUAUACGAUAAAAACUCUCUUUUUCUCUCGUACUUUAUUACAAAUCACACACACACACACUAUUUCAUCAUUGGAAGAUGCUUUUAUUUAUGGGUUGGGCAAAAGACGAGUUAGAGGUGGAGGAGCGUUCUCAUAAUUAAUGAAACAUUCAUUUCACCACAAUGAAUAAAGCAUCUCU